rnacentral:rRNA from 1 species
UCUUGUCGGUGGCUUUCCUUUAUCUUGAAGAUUAAGCCAUGCAUGUCUAAGUAUGAACUGGUUUAAGGUGAAACUGCGUACGGCUCAUUACAUCAGCUAUAACUUUCUUUGAUCAUAACUCCUAAAUGGAAUAACCGAGGAAAAGCCUGGGCUAAUACAUGCGAAAAUUCCGGUAGCAAUAUCGGAAUGCUUUUAUUAGAUCAAAACCUUCUAGUUCUUUCAUCGGAACUGUUUGUUGGUGACUCUAAAUAACUUUGUGUUGAUCGUAUGACCUUUUGUGUCGACGACAUAUCUUUCAAGUGUCUGACUUAUCAACUUUUAGACGGUACAUUAUAUGUCUACCGUGGUUGUAACGAGUACAGAGAAAUCGAGGGUUUUGGUUCUGGAGAGGGCCGCCUGAGAAACGGCGACCACUUCCAAGGAAGGCAGC